ACCCUGGUGGUCUAGUGGUUAAGAUUUGGCGCUCUCACUGCCAUAGCCCGGGUUCAUUUCCCGGCCGGGGAA
rnacentral:tRNA from 1 species